rnacentral:tRNA from 1 species
UGGUAUUACGCCGGAUGAACGGAAAUCAUUGAUGUCGAUUAAUACAGGAGACAAGGUUCUUCUUAAUACCAGC